CGAUGAACAACACCUGGAUGAACAGGUAAGCUGUAUAUUAUUCUCCACCCAGGAGACAAUCCCUACCUGGAUUUUCAUAAAGUAGACUGACGGACAGGUAUUUGUAUGAAUAUAUAUGACAACUUGAUUAGUACGGUCAAUGGAUCAACAUAGGUAUGGUGUGUUCAAAAGGGUCGAACAGGCACGCACGGCUGUCUUAAUUCUAUACGGAAUAUACAGGAAAAUUAAAUGAGCAGUUCUCAGCAAUACUAUUAGAUUAACCUGUGUUAUAAAAUGCCUGGAUGCAAAUUCAUUGUUGGUUACCCGAAGUGGUGAAUGGCCCAAUUGAAAGGCUGAAACUGGGGUCGCCAUAACAACGUGAAAACAAAGAGAAACAAACAUCAGUGUUCGUCUAGAAGCAGUGCCCAUGCCGUGAGCCAUGCACACACGUGUUAGUAAUACACUGUCCAGGUUGUAGUGUUUAUCAGUUGUGUUAUUUUAAAAAGACCGAGGGAUUUGUAAAACUAUUUAUAUUGAUAAAAUUUAAGUAUCAAUCGGCUUUAAAUGUCGAUCUGGUGUCUUGUUUUCUAAGAAACACACAGGAGCGUUUGAAAGAUUUUGUGAGAAAAAAUCUUCAGAUAUCAAGUCAGAAACUCUAGUGAAUAUCAUGGGGUGCAGCAACAGUACCGCCGGAGGCGACCCGAACAGCGCACCCCCUUCAAGUGAACAAGGCCAGGCUCCUCAUGAGAACGGAGUGAACAAAUCAGAGGAACCUCAAAAAUCCCAAGCUCCGCAACAAGAAGAAAGUCCUGAGAAACCUGCAGACGAUACACAACAGCAGACGACAGAUAAAGGACAAGCCAAAGAGGAUCAAAAAGUAGAUGAAGGAACUGAGCAGAAAGAAAAUGCCACGGACGCCCAGACGGACGAAACAGCUGGACAGACAAAUGAUACACAAGAGAAAACCCAGGAUGAAAAGACUGAACAAGAGCAAGCAUAGAUAAACAUGUUGGAGAUAUAGUUAUCAGAAAUGAAAGAAGAUUUUCAUUUAUUUUUGGACCGUCGCUUUGAAGAUGACAGCGAAGACGAUGAUGAUGAUGAGGGGAGGAGGAGGAGGAGGAGGAGGAGGAGGAGGAGGAGGAGGAGAAUUAACUACAGACAAGAACAAUUCCGUCCAGUUACACUGUACUAUAAACGACUAUUAACAUAUUAUUAUACAUGUACUAUUUAUUUUUAUACACGUCUUUGGCCUCUUCUAGCGCCCUUAUUGAGAAAGCAUUGCGAUAGUUAAAUGCACGGUCCUGUAUUUAGGGUUUUCCUUGAGAAACAUUACAGAGACAGGACACACUUUUAAGUUAACAUUAAGGAUUUUUUCUCAGCUCCAAUAACGUUUUACAAACCUAGAGAUAAGGAGUGUUCCUAUAUAGGGAAGCCUGGCUCCGUCUUUAGGGGCAUCGUUGUGAUUAAGAUAUAAGCAUUGUUCAUUAAGUGGCGCACUUUAUCGUCGAUUUUGGAUGUGUUUGGGUCUGUAGGGUAAUCUUAUUCCAUUAUAUUUGCAUCAAACAAAAUUUCUCUCAAUAUUCUUUAUUAUGCCAAACGUUUAUCUUUGCUAAUAUUCCCGAGUAUGUAAAAUUCGCACAUUUAUAUCUAGAUCUCAUUCACUAUGGUGUAAAUUUUGUUAAUUUGAAAUAUGGUAAUGAAAUUGCACCUUUUUAACCCUUUCAAAAAGUCAUUAAAUACAAACUAUAAUUUAAUUGUAAUGAUUUACUGCUUAUUCAUAAUGUUGACGAUUCUGCAUUUUUAAAUAUCAAAAUCAUUGUAAGUUUCAAUAAAUACAGUGGAACUGAACUUUAUUUCAGGAAAGUAUCUGGUAAAAUAAAAUCAUUCAAUGUUUAUCACGAUUAUCUCCCUUCUUUAAUGUUAAAAGAGACGUUCCAAACAAACCUCUUCAUCUAUUUGUGUAAAUGAACAGAAUAAUCAAUGAUUUAUCCCGUAUUAAAACAUACGACUUUUAGACUUUUAAUUAUACGCUUGAAAUUUAAUGGCAAUUUAUUUUUGUAAAUAUUGAUUUAAAUAUCCGAUCAAUAUAUCUCAGAUCAAAUAGAACUUGAUUCUAACCUUUGAAACGUUAGUUAGUUUAUAUUUUUAUUGUUCUUUAUUUCAGUAUCGAUUUAUUUAGGGGUCUAGUGUCGUUACUUGUUUAAAAGGAGGCAUAUUUUCUGUUGCCCUGAAUUUACGUUUUACACUAUCUAGCUGUGAUAUCAUUAAAAUAAACCCACAGUAUUGAUAAUGAUACUAUUUAUGAAAUGCCAUUAAUAAAUAAAUUAUUGAUCUAUA